rfam:Gossypium arboreum cultivar AKA8401 contig_9295_5, whole genome shotgun sequence.
GCCCGUCUAGCUCAGUCGGUAGAGCGCAAGGCUCUUAACCUUGUGGUCGUGUGUUCGAGCGCCACGGUGGGCG